AACGUUAUUACUUGACGCUGGCUAAU
rnacentral:sRNA from 1 species